AGAGAUGUGUGAUGACGCAUAUCAAUAAGCGGAGGAAAAGAAACUAACAAGGAUUCCCUUAGUAACGGCGAGUGAAGCGGGAAGAACUCAAAUUUGAAAUCUUCAAGGUUCUACCUUGACGAAUUGUAGUUUAUAGAAGUGUUUUCUGUUAGUGGAGUGGCAAAAGUUCUUUGGAAUAGGACAUCAUAGAGGGUGAGAAUCCCGUAUUUGGUCAUUCUUCCUAGCGUUGUGAUACACUUUCAACGAGUCGGAUUGUUUGGGAAUGCAGUCCAAAAUGGGUGGUAAAUUUCAUCUAAAGCUAAAUAUUGGCGAGAGACCGAUAGCGAACAAGUACCGUGAGGGAAAGAUGAAAAGAACUUUGAAAAGAGAGUUAAACAGUACGUGAAAUUGUCAAAAGGGAAGCGUUUGACACCAGUGUUGUUUUUCCGAAAAUCAAUUACGAAUGUUUUAUUUUUGAAGAGUUAUGACUUCAUCGGCUUGCUCUCUUCUUUAUGAAACUUUCUUAAUGCACUUUUCGGUUAACAAGUCAACAUCAAUUUCUUUUGUUGUAAAAGAGUAUGAGGAAGGUGGCUUUCUUUUCGGAGAAAGUGUUUAUAGCCUUGUACUCUGCAAUCGAAGAGAUUGAGGUCUGCAGCGUAGAUCCUUCGGGGUUAGAUACACUUUGUGCUAAGUUAUAGCUUUUCAUAGACAACUUGUUGACUAUGUUAAGUCUUGUAGCUUACUCGCUGACGCUAUUUUACCUACGCUUAGGAUGUUGACGAUCAGCUGAGCGCG
rnacentral:rRNA from 1 species